CACUUAUGUUACUAAUUACAAUUAGCCGAAUGCAUAUUUAUUAAACACGGAUUACUGAAUCCUCAUCCCGUCUCUGAUGAAGUGGGGCUGACACCCACGAAACGCGUUAGACAAACAGGAUACGGACGCAGAAGUUCUGUAAACCAGCAGCAAACAACACCUCUUCAUUGAGAGUGUGAUAUUGAAGCAUCUGGGGACCGACCGGCCGGCAAGCGUGCAUCUCUCAGAGUGAGGUCUGGGACGCACGCCAACCUCACAGCCGACAGCCAGAGAUCACAGUGAGAGCAAUACUGUAUCCAUAUCCAUCCUGGAUGGUCCCUGCGG